AAAGUAGCAAUUCACAUAAGUGGCCUUUGUGAUCAAGAGCAGCAUUAAUCAAGAUAUUUGAAGAUAAACAAGAGCAUUGCCAUAACAACAAAUCAAACAUUCAAAGAUGAAGAAACAGAUCGAAUUCCAACAAGUACAGAUCCAAUGUCAAACCAAAUUAUUUAACUCUCACAGUCCACUGAUCAAACCCGUCAGCAAUUACAUCAAAUCCACUACACAUACAAUCA